rnacentral:rRNA from 1 species
AUUGAACGCUGGCGGCAGGCCUAACACAUGCAAGUCGAGCGGAUGAAGGGAGCUUGCUCCUGGAUUCAGCGGCGGACGGGUGAGUAAUGCCUAGGAAUCUGCCUGGUAGUGGGGGAUAACGUCCGGACACGGGCGCUAAUACCGCAUACGUCCUGAGGGAGAAAGUGGGGGAUCUUCGGACCUCACGCUAUCAGAUGAGCCUAGGUCGGAUUAGCUAGUUGGUGUGGUAAAGGCCUACCAAGGCGACGAUCCGUAACUGGUCUGAGAGGAUGAUCAGUCACACUGGAACUGAGACACGGUCCAGACUCCUACGGGAGGCAGCAGUAGGGAAUAUUGGACAAUGGGCGAAAGCCUGAUCCAGCCAUGCCGCGUGUGUGAAGAAGGUCUUCGGAUUGUAAAGCACUUUAAGUUGGGAGGAAGGGCAGUAAGUUAAUACCUUGCUGUUUUGACGUUACCAACAGAAUAAGCACCGGCUAACUUCGUG